rnacentral:rRNA from 1 species
CACGUAGGGUGCGAGCGUUGUCCGGAAUUAUUGGGCGUAAAGAGCUCGUAGGCGGUGUGUCGCGUCGACCGUGAAAACCUGCAGCUUAACUGUGGGCGUGCGGUCGAUACGGGCAUCACUGGAGUUCGGCAGGGGAGACUGGAAUUCCUGGUGUAGCGGUGAAAUGCGCAGAUAUCAGGAGGAACACCGGUGGCGAAGGCGGGUCUCUGGGCCGAUACUGACGCUGAGACGCGAAAGCGUGGGGGGCAAACAGG